UACGAGGGGGGCAAGCGUUGUUCGGAAUUAUUGGGCGUAAAGAGCUCGUAGGUGGUCUGUUGCGUCCGCUGUGAAAACUCGGGGCUUAACCCCGAGCCUGCAGUGGAUACGGGCAGACUAGAGGUAGGUAGGGGAGAAUGGAAUUCCCGGUGUAGCGGUGAAAUGCGCAGAUAUCGGGAGGAACACCGGUGGCGAAGGCG
rnacentral:rRNA from 1 species